rnacentral:rRNA from 1 species
GACGAACGCUGGCGGCGUGCUUAACACAUGCAAGUCGAACGGAAAGGCCCUGCUUUUGUGGGGUGCUCGAGUGGCGAACGGGUGAGUAACACGUGAGUAACCUGCCCUUGACUUUGGGAUAACUUCAGGAAACUGGGGCUAAUACCGGAUAGGAGCUCCUGCUGCAUGGUGGGGGUUGGAAAUUUUCGGCGGUUGGGGAUGGACUCGCGGCUUAUCAGCUUGUUGGUGGGGUAGUGGCUUACCAAGGCUUUGACGGGUAGCCGGCCUGAGAGGGUGACCGGCCACAAUGGGACUGAGAUACGGCCCAGACUCCUACGGGAGGCAGCAGUGGGGAGUAUUGCACAAUGGGCGGAAGCCUGAUGCAGCAACGCCGCGUGCGGGAUGACGGCCUUCGGGUUGUAAACCGCUUUCGCCUGUGACGAAGCGUGAGUGACGGUAAUGGGUAAAGAAGCACCGGCUAACUACGUG